rnacentral:rRNA from 1 species
CGAGACGUUAAGUACGGUAAUUACGUGGGACGUAAAGCGCAUGCAGGCGGCCUGUUAAGUCAGAUGUAGAAACGGCCCGGGGACCUUUAACCGUACGGUAAUUGCUAUUUAGUAAACGUGGCGAGGCUAGAGUCUUGUAGGAGGGGGGUAGGAAUUUCAGGUGUAGCGGUGAAAAUGCGUAGAGAUCUGAAGGAAUACCGGUGGCGAAGGCGGCCCCCUGGACAAAGACUGACGCUCAGAUGCGAAAGCGUGGGGAGCAAACAGGAUUAGAUACCCUGGUAG